rnacentral:piRNA from 1 species
UGGUGGCCUUCAACUGUGAGUGACGGUGA